GCAAUUUCUGGAAAAUUAUGAAAAAGAAGACAUAACAGUAGCAGAACUGGAAGGAAACUCAAAUUCUUUGUGGACCAUCAGCCCACCCAAAACUUAAGUCUGGGUGCAAAAUCGGAAAUAGCAACAGAUAAGCUUUCUUUUCCUCUUAAAAAUAUUACUCGAAAGAAUAUCGCUAAAAUGAUAGCGGGCAACAGCACAGAAAGUUCAAAAACACCAGUGACCAUAGAAAAGAUUUAUCCAUAUUAUGUGAAAGCACCUAGUGAUUCUAACUCAAAACCUAUAAAGCAACUUUUAUCUGAAAAUAAUUUCAUGGAUAUUACCAUCAUUUUGUCCAGAGACAAUACAACUAAAUAUAACAGUGAGUGGUGGGUUCUCAACCUAACUGGAAACAGAAUAUACAAUCCAAACUCUCAGGCCCUGGAACUGGUGGUCUUCAAUGACAAAGUCAGUCCCCCAAGUCUGGGGUUCCUGGCUGGCUAUGGUAUUAUGGGAUUAUACGCUUCAGUUGUCCUUGUGAUUGGAAAAUUUGUCCGUGAAUUCUUCAGUGGGAUUUCUCACUCCAU
rnacentral:sRNA from 1 species